rnacentral:rRNA from 1 species
UAGGGAAUCUUCCACAAUGGGCGAAAGCCUGAUGGAGCAACGCCGCGUGUGUGAUGAAGGCUUUCGGGUCGUAAAGCACUGUUGUAUGGGAGAACAGCUAGAAUAGGAAAUGAUUUUAGUUUGACGGUACCAUACCAGAAAGGGACGGCUAAAUACGUGCCAC